rnacentral:rRNA from 1 species
GACGAACCGUGCGAACGUUAUUCGGAAUCACUGGGCUUAAAGGGCGCGUAGGCGGGCGGACAAGUCGGGGGUGAAAUCGUUCGGCCCAACCGGACAAGGGCCCCCGAUACUGGCCGUCUCGAGGGAGGUAGGGGUCGAUGGAACUUCCGGUGGAGCGGUGAAAUGCGUUGAUAUCAGAAGGAACGCCGGUGGCGAAAGCGCUCGACUGGACCUUUUCUGACGCUGAGGCGCGAAAGCUAGGGGAGCAAACGGG